AAACUUUGCAAUGCGGGAAACCGUGACAAGGGAACUCCGAGUGCCCGUAAAUUCGGGCUGUCCGCCAGUUUAAAUAACUGGUGAAGAAAGGGCCGGGCAAGACCGGUGCCAGCCGCCGCGGUAAUACCGGCGGCUCGAGUGGUGGCCACUAUUACUGGGCUUAAAGCGUUCGUAGCUGGCCUGUUAAGUCUCUGGGGAAAUCUUCCGGCUUAACCGGAAGGCGAUUCAGGGAUACUGGCAGGCUAGGGACCGGUAGAGGUGAGGGGUACUCCAGGGGUAGGAGUGAAAUCCUGUAAUCCUUGGGGGACCACCUGUGGCGAAGGCGCCUCACCAGAACGGCUCCGACAGUGAGGAACGAAAGCUGGGGGAGCAAACCGG
rnacentral:rRNA from 1 species